rnacentral:lncRNA from 1 species
AGAAACAAAGAAGAAGAAAAGGAUAAGAAGAAGUAGGUAAGAGAGAGUGAGAGAGAUCAGAAAGGAAAAGAAAAGGAAAGAUAAGGAAAGAAGAAAGAGGAAGAGGAAAGAGGAAAAGAGGAAGAAGAUAAGAAGAGGAAGAAAGAAGAUGGAAAGGUCAUGAAGAUCAUGUUCAUAACCACCAUCAUCUCAUCUUCAUCAUCAAUCAUCACCAACUUCAUCUUCUUCUUCUACUAGGAGAGUUCUUAGAUAGAUUUAGCAUUUGGGGGAAAAUAACCUAUAUUUAUGGGGUUAGGAUUUGUGUCAAUUUGUGAUGAACUUGUUGCGUUCAUACUCCCUAUCCAUGUUAUGUGUUGAUAUCAUGUUGUUGUUGUUGAAAUUGUGGAAAGAGAAGGAAAGAAGAAAGAGGAAAAGAGGAAGAAUAGAAGAAGAGGAAGGAAGAAGAUGGAAAACUCAUGAAGAUCAUGUUCAUAACCACCAUCAUCUCAUCUUCAUCAUUAGUCAUCACCAACUUCAUCUUCUUCUUCUACUAGGUGAGUUCUUAGAUAGAUUUAGCAUUUGGGGGAAAAUAACCUAUAUUUAUGGGGUUAGGAUUUGUGUGAAUUUGUGAUGAACUUGUUGCGUUCAUACUCCCUAUCCAUGUUAUGUGUUGAUAUCAUGUUGUUGUUGUUGAAAUUGUGGAAAGAGAAGGAAAGAAGAAAGAGGAAAAGAGGAAGAAGAGGAAGGAAGAAGAUGGAAAGCUCAUGAAGAUCAUGUUCAUAACCACCAUCAUCUCAUCUUCAUCAUCAGUCAUCACCAACUUCAUCUUCUUCUUACCAACUUCAUCUUCUUCUUCUGCUAGGUGAGUUCUUAGAUAGAUUUAGCAUUUGGGGGAAAAUAACCUAUAUUUAUGGGGUUAGGAUUUGUGUGAAUUUGUGAUGAACUUGUUGUGUUCAUACUC